AGAGAUGCAGGAGCUGACUGUGGGAGGUUAGACCAGCCAGGCAGAGAGAUGCAGGAGCUGACCGUGGGAGGUUAGACUAGCCUACAUGGAAGUGGUGGAGAUUGAGAGGACAGUCAGGCCCCUGACAGGAUCUGCUGCAGGUCUGCCACUGGUAUUUUCACAGAAGUUUCCAGAGGCUCCAAAGCUGUAACAGUAAAGCUGGCGAGUGUACAAGUGCCUGGACCAGACAUGGCUCCUCACCUUUCGUGAAUAGACUUUAUGAAUGAACACUGAAAUUUUGUUUAUUUUUAAAGAGUGCGGAGGAUGGCCUUGAAACGGUAAAUUUUGCUGGGGCUCUCGGAAAUUAAAUGGCCCCUGUGCUCUGUGGAGCUAAGCUCAGGAGUCACAGGCCUGGGGACCUGGAGGGGCCCAAGAUAUGAUUCAGCACUUAGGUGUUGUGAGGGUAGUAGGAUGCCAAGUUCCUGAGCUGGUACAUUGUGAAUGAUUGUCACUUUUUCAUUUCACUUCAUUUAGGGGAUAACUGCUUGGUAAGUUUAGUGUAAUGCAAAUACCUGAUGUAGGUGGGUCACCAACUUUUUUUUUUUUUUU